CUGAACUUAGAAUUAAUAGCCUUAAUCAAGUCAGUAUCAUGCAUCUGAACUGCCAACUUUCCCUUUGUUCUUUGGUUCAUUUGGCUCUUAGGCUCAAACUCGAAAUCCCUUAGCAACUCGAGUCCACUAAGCUAAAACUCAUUACUUCAAUUGCUAAUAUUGCAACAUCUUUGUACCAUAAAAACAUGUGAUAUUAGCUAAUUUUCUUGUAGAGGCUUCUUUCAUGUGAACAAU
rnacentral:misc_RNA from 1 species